CUUGUCACUUUCGUCUGCUAGCAAACAACAGAAAAAAGCUGGUGUGUGGUGGGAUGCACCACCAACUGGAUAAAGAACCCAGAACCAAGUUUUUAUGAGCUGCCGAACCGAAAAACCUGUCUUAACUUUGGAGUCUAGUGUGGCGUGUCGGCUAGCAAGCUAGCUACAGACAGUACGUUACUGUCAUUUUACAGGUGUACGAACCACAAAGGAUCGUUGUUGUUCGUGCCCUCUCAGAAUCACCACUGGCUUCCACACGUCUCCACACUGCAUUCGGACAUUUUCUCCAGCGUGCAGCUCAGGUCCGUGACGUAGUCUGUCGUUUUGGAUUGACCUUGAGCACGGGUGAAAAACAUGCCGAAUAUAAGGCCCAGUGGAGAUGCAGCCAUGGAGGUAAAGCUCGUUGUGCUGGCCACAGUCAACAGGUUGCCUCUUUCCCCAUCUGAUCCUGUGGUGGCAGCAGGUUCUGAGGGAGAUGUGGAAUGCUGGCAGGUGUGUGUGAUUGGGCUAAUUGGCUUCAGGUCUAGGCUCAUGAAGUAAUAAAG